CCCGCGGCCCCGAGCGCGCGCGCGCGCCGGGCCGGCCGCUCCCACGCCCGGCCGGCCUGUCGCGUCACCCAGCAGCCGCCACCGGGAUGCGGGCCGCGUCGGGAGACACCCACCGCGACCCCCGCGGCCCCGCAGUGUGGAGCGGGCUCCUCAGCGGCGGAAACCAGCCGGCCCCGGGGGGGCGUGGCCUCAGCCGGCGGGUCUCGCGGGAACAGCGACCCCUGCAGGGCGGCCGAGGACCCACCACCGGGCGGAGUCGCUGUAGAGGGUCUCGCGGGAACAGCGACCCCUGCAGGGCGGCUGAAGCCCCUUGUCGGGUGGAGCUCCUGGCUGACGCUCUCAGAACAGCGACCCCUGGAGGUCACUAGGGACUAAUCCAGGGUCAGAGCAUCCGCAGAAGUCCUUAUAGGAACCGGAGCCUUCUGGGCUGGGCUGCGGUGCACCCCCACCCUGGUUCUCCCAGGGAGCCUCAGUUUCUUUCUUUUUUGAAGAUGAGUACCUGAAGGUACAGCUCCAACAGCUUGCUUAGCACCUGCAGGUCACCAGCACAGUGAACACAUCGUGACUUUGACUCAUCACACCAGAGACUUUUGCCAAGUUUUCUUAUAGUAUGGCUCUGUAUGUACGCAGAGGUAGAUCAAGAUAAUGUUUAAAAAGUUUUUGAAAUCUUGCUGUAACACAAAAAAGUCUUAUAAUAAUAAAAAAAAAUCCAGAGCCAGAUAUUGGAGUGAAAGCUGAAAGGUCAGAGAAGCAGAACAGCCAGCCACUAGCUUACCUCUAUGAAAUCCUCAGCCUCAAGAGAGUGAGUUCCUGUUACCUCAUGCCUUGUAUACCUUUCUGUGUUCUGCCAUAUUACUUCUUGGGAUUAAAGCUUACCUCUUCCCUUGUCGAGGACCUUGCCAGGGGCGGUCCAGGUAAGGUGAAGAUGAUCUCCGUUAAAUUCGGCUUCCAGAUCUGUGAUUCUACUGGGUGGGAACACAGGAGGAGCGUGGUCACCACCAGGAGGCGCUCCAGACACAGUAAAGGACCCUCCAGAGGUUAGCCUGCUGAAGUCUUCCACAGGAGCUUCUGCUUCUUGCAUUUCAGGUCUAGUUUCUAUAGUGGCUGUGACAUUGGCUCCCAGAACAGGCAGAAACCCUUGGCUGACUCGUGCAUAAACAAUCAUCGGGCUAGUGUACCGUGCUGUGUUUUGACUCAUGUGAGCAGUUACGAUUACUGGGGGUGUGGUAGGACUUCUUGCUCGAGUGGUCACCGUCACUGCUAGCGACUGAGGUUCGGCAUCCUUAUUGAAGAGGCUGAUGGAUUAAUGAAACAUAGUGAAAAGACUUACUUCUGCGGUGCCUGGUAUUUGAAGUCGAGCAGACUGCAUAUUUAAUUCAUCAUCUUUGAAAUCUGAGGUUGUGUAUUUUUUU